ACGAACGCUGGCGGCGUGCUUCACACAUGCAAGUCGAACGGAAAGGCCCUGCUUUUGUGGGGUGCUCGAGUGGCGAACGGGUGAGUAACACGUGAGUAACCUGCCCUUGACUUUGGGAUAACUUCAGGAAACUGGGGCUAAUACCGGAUAGGAGCUCCUGCUGCAUGGUGGGGGUUGGAAAGUUUCGGCGGUUGGGGAUGGACUCGCGGCUUAUCAGCUUGUUGGUGGGGUAGUGGCUUACCAAGGCUUUGACGGGUAGCCGGCCUGAGAGGGUGACCGGCCACAUUGGGACUGAGAUACGGCCCAGACUCCUACGGGAGGCAGCAGUGGGGAAUAUUGCACAAUGGGCGGAAGCCUGGUGCAGCAACGCCGCGUGCGGGAUGACGGCCUUCGGGUUGUAAACCGCUUUCGCCUGUGACGAAGCGUGAGUGACGGUAAUGGGUAAAGAAGCACCGGCUAACUACGUG
rnacentral:rRNA from 1 species